rnacentral:rRNA from 1 species
UUUUAAAUGAGGACCUGUAUGAAUGGCAUAACGAGGGCUUAGCUGUCUCCCCUGUCCAGUCAAUGAAAUUGAUCUCCCCGUGCAGAAGCGGGGAUAAUCCCAUAAGACGAGAAGACCCUAUGGAGCUUUAGACAAUCAAACGACCCAAGUAGAACAGCUUUUUAUAAACAAGCUGACCCCCCUUAAUGGAACCCCCGUUUUAUGUC